rnacentral:misc_RNA from 1 species
UCCGGUUUGGCACCGGCGGUCUCCGAUGAGUCCCCGGCUUUACCCGCUGGCAACAUCGGACAGGGGUUGCGCUCGUUGCGCCACUUAAGGCAACACCUCACGGCACGAGCUGACGACAGCCAUGCAGCACCUGUACGGGCUCCCGAAGGACACCGUAUCUCUACGGCUUUUCUCUACAUGUCAAGCCCAGGUAAGGUUCUUCGCGUUGCCUCGAAUUAAGCCACAUGCUCCGCCGCUUGUGCGGGCCCCCGUCAAUUCCUUUGAGUUUCAGCCUUGCGGCCGUACUCCCCAGGCGGGGUGCUUAACGCGUGAGCUGCGGCACCGAAGGGGUCGCUCCCCCCGGCACCUAGCACCCAUCGUUUACGGCGUGGACUAC